AUACGGAGGAUCCGAGCGUUAUCCGGAUUUAUUGGGUUUAAAGGGUGCGCAGGCGGGAUGUUAAGUCGGCGGUGAAAUUUUGCAGCUCAACUGUAAAAGUGCCUUCGAUACUGGCUUUCUUGAGUGUGGAUGAAGUAGGUGGAAUUUGUGGUGUAGCGGUGAAAUGCUUAGAUAUCACGAGGAACUCCGAUUGCGCAGGCAGCUUACUAAACCACUACUGACGCUCAUGCACGAAGGCGUGGGGAUCAAACAGGAUUAGAUACCCUGGUAGUCCACGCAGUAAACGAUGAUUACUAGUUGUUUGCGAUACAAUGUAAGCGACUGAGCGAAAGCGUUAAGUAAUCCACCUGGGGAGUACGUUCGCAAGAAUGAAACUCAAAUGAAUUGACGGGG
rnacentral:rRNA from 1 species